GGCGGGCCCCGCACUCCCGGGGCGUCUCGUUCUCAUCGCGAGAAGAGGCGCACCCAGAGCGUACACGCUGGGACCCGAAAGAUGGUGAACUAUGCCUGGUCAGGACGAAGUCAGGGGAAACCCUGAUGGAGGUCCGUAGCGAUUCUGACGUGCAAAUCGAUCGUCGGAACUGGGUAUAGGGGCGAAAGACUAAUCGAACCUUCUAGUAGCUGGUUCCCUCCGAAGUUUCCCUCAGGAUAGCUGGCGCUCGCCUUUGCGAGUCUCAUUCGGUAAAGCGAAUGAUUAGAGGCAUUGGGGUCGAAACGGCCUCAACCUAUUCUCAAACUUUAAAUGGGUGAGAUCUCCGGCUUGCUUAAAGCAUGAAGCCGCGAGAGAUCGGAUCACAGAGUGCCAAGUGGGCCACUUUUGGUAAGCAGAACUGGCGCUGUGGGAUGAACCAAACGCAGAGUUAAAGCGCCCAAAUCGACGCUUAUGGGAUACCAUGAAAGGCGUUGGUAACUUAAGACAGCAGGACGGUGG
rnacentral:rRNA from 1 species